UACCAUGCAGUCGAACGAUGAAGCCCUUCGGGGUGGAUUAGUGGCGAACGGGUGAGUAACACGUGGGCAAUCUGCCCUUCACUCUGGGACAAGCCCUGGAAACGGGGUCUAAUACCGGAUACCACUCCUGCCUGCAUGGGCGGGGGUUGAAAGCUCCGGCGGUGAAGGAUGAGCCCGCGGCCUAUCAGCUUGUUGGUGGGGUAAUGGCCCACCCAGGCGACGACGGGUAGCCGGCCUGAGAGGGCGACCGGCCACACUGGGACUGAGACACGGCCCAGACUCCUACGGGAGGCAGCAGUGGGGAAUAUUGCACAAUGGGCGAAAGCSUGAUGCACCGACGCCCCCGGGGGGAAGGCCGCCUUCGGGUUGUAAACCUCUUUCAGCAGGGAAGAAGCGAAAGUGACGGUACCUGCAGAAGAAGCGCCGGCUAACUACGUGCCAGCAGCCGCGGUAAUACGUAGGGCGCAAGCGUUGUCCGGAAUUAUUGGGCGUAAAGAGCUCGUAGGCGGCUUGUCACGUCGGAUGUGAAAGCCCGAGGCUUAACCUCGGGUCUGCAUUCGAUACGGGCUAGCUAGAGUGUGGUAGGGGAGAUCGGAAUUCCUGGUGUA
rnacentral:rRNA from 1 species